rnacentral:tRNA from 1 species
AGCUUAGUGGUAAACUACAUAUUUGGCAUAUAUGAGAUCCUGGGUUCAAUUCCCAG